GGGCCUAUAGCUCAACGGUAGAGCUGGCGGCUCAUAACCGCUUGGUUGCAGGUUCGAAUCCUGCUGGGCCCA
rnacentral:tRNA from 2 species